rnacentral:rRNA from 1 species
AUUGAACGCUGGCGGCAUGCUUUACACAUGCCAGUCGAACGGUAACAGGCCUUCGGGUGCUGACGAGUGGCGAACGGGUGAGUAAUGCAUCGGAACGUGCCCAGAGGUGGGGGAUAACGCAGCGAAAGCUGUGCUAAUACCGCAUGUGAUCUGAGGAUGAAAGCGGGGGACCAGGCAGCAAUGUUUGGCCUCGCGCCUUUGGAGCGGCCGAUGUCAGAUUAGGUAGUUGGUGGGGUAAAGGCCUACCAAGCCGACGAUCUGUAGCUGGUCUGAGAGGACGACCAGCCACACUGGGACUGAGACACGGCCCAGACUCCUACGGGAGGCAGCAGUGGGGAAUGUUGGACAAUGGGCGCAAGCCUGAUCCAGCAAUGCCGCGUGCGGGAAGAAGGCCUUCGGGUUGUAAACCGCUUUUGUACGGAACGAAAAGGCUCUGGCUAAUACCUGGGGCUGAUGACGGUACCGUAAGAAUAAGCACCGGCUAACUACGUG